UGUUAAGAGGUGUCAAUUUCGGU
rnacentral:siRNA from 1 species